GGGCCCGCACAAGCGGUGGAGCAUGUGGUUUAAUUCGAAGAUACGCGCAGAACCUUACCAACACUUGACAUGUUCGUCGCGACUCUAAGAGAUUAGAGUUUUCGGUUCGGCCGGACGAAACACAGGUGCGGCAUGGCUGUCGUCAGCUCGUGUCGUGAGAUGUUGGGUUAAGUCCCGCAACGAGCGCAACCCUCACUUUUAGUUGCCAUCAUUAAGUUGGGCACUCUGAAAGAACUGCCAGUGAUAAGCUGGAGGAAGGUGGGGAUGACGUCAAGUCCUCAUGGCCCUUACGUGUUGGGCUACACACGUGCUACAAUGGUAUCUACAACAGGAAGCAAGACUGCGAGGUCAAGCAAAUCCUUAAAAGAUACCUCAGUUCGGAUUGCACUCUGCAACUCGAGUGCAUGAAGCUGGAAUUACUAGUAAUCGU
rnacentral:rRNA from 1 species